GUAGAAACACGAGUUCCCGUACGAUUACCGAAGUUAAGCAAAGUUGAGUCUGGUCAGUACCUACAAGAGUGACCGUUUGCGAAUAUCAGGUGCUGUAAG